rnacentral:misc_RNA from 1 species
GGCUUUUCGUCUUUUCUCUCUCGAUGACUCACGCACCCGCACGUCCUACAGGCACCCAUCGCCUGCUGCUGCAAGUGUCUGCGUACUGCGUUCCUCUUUGUUGUUCUCUUUCUCCUCUCUCCACCCGGUGACGCGGAGAGGGGACACACCUCCGUGAGCGGUACCGCAGGGGCCAGUACACCCCCUCCCCCCACUCUGCGUGGGGAAGCCAAGCAGCCUCUCCCUAUCCCCUGCCAAUGCCGAGCCACCUCUGGUGGUGACAGGGCCAAGUGCCUACGACGUGAGGGGGAGGCCAGAGUGGUUUGCCGCUACGGAUGCCGGCGGUCAGGCUGUGGACAUUGUUGCGCUGGAGAGGCCAGCGACGGUGCGCACGCUUCUGCCAUCCGUGUGAUGGGCGAAGUGUCAGCGCGACUCGUACGUAUCCCACCCCCGGGCCUCGCACUGCCCCACUGGUGUGGGGCGCCGGAGUGCGGGACCGCGAGGAGAUGCACUGGGUGGCGACCAGCACAAGGGUAGCUGCUGUGAGGCGACCUGCGAUGCGGGGAGGGGGGGCGAGUAGAGUUUUGCGUAGGGGCGGUGCUGGGAUGACGGAGUCGGCGCAUUGCUGUAACACGUGUGUCUAGCGCUGCCUCGCCCCACGCGGAUGGGGUUCGCGGCAGGCCCGGUGGGUAUAGCGGAGUUUGGAUUCAUGUUGUACGGCAGAGAAUGGUUGAGAAGUUGAGAAAAGCAAAAUCCCCCCUUUUUGGUUGAUUGCAUGUUGGUAGCGACCACACAGAUCAUUAAAGGAAGUGGAAAUGCAGAAUAUACUGCGGGGAGACGGCGGCGGGGACGACUGUCCCUCCAGUUAUAUAGACGCGAUGGCUCACCAUCUCGUGCGCGUAUGUCUGUUGAAUGUGUAUAUGCUCUACCCUUUUCUGGGCAUCAGCAGACUCUCUCACGUUCACACCUUCAUGCCCCCUUCCCCCAUAGUGAUGCAAGGCGUCUCCACCUCCUUCCCCGGGUCACGGGAUUCCUCUAUACUGCCUUCGCCGUUGCGGCGCUGUCGAUCCUUCUGUUACCUUCUCUGUCUCUUGGCGUGUGCGUCGCACGUGGCUGCAUUACAACAUCAACGUUCUGUUUCCGUUUCUUCUUUCGCAUUUGUGUGUGCUGCCGAAACACAUUCUCUCCUUAUUUGCCGCAUUCGUGUCCUUUCCUCUCCACCUUUCUUCCACCUUUGCAG